rnacentral:tRNA from 1 species
CCUUCGAUAGCUCAGUUGGUAGAGCGAUGGACUGUAGAUCCAUAUGUCGCUGGUUCAAAUCCGGCUUGAAGGA